GGAUUUUUAUUUGUGCAUGUGUUCCUGUCAUUGAUCUCUUUGAUGACAUUCUCAUUCAUAGAAAGAGCGUGAUUUAUGAGUUUAGGAAGAAUUGCAUCCAGCCCUUCCAGCUAUUGCCCACGCAUCCCAGCUCCACAGAGUGUUGCGGAUCAGAGAAACAACACACCUCAAAUGAAAUGGAAACAAACUACUCCAGACACAUGGAUUCAUUGACCGCGUUUCAGAUAUACCCCAGAAUAUUCAAAAUCAAAAGGCGACGCGAUCUGUUUGUUUUCUUGGAAUCUUUCAGCACAUGGGAGCUAAUCCAAGGCGCACUUUGUUAGCCUUUGUAUUUUUAAGGACGUGUUUCAGAAAACGACCUGGUGGACAUAUUUGCGCUGAGUUACAGAAGAAUACGGUGUUUAAAAUGAGUCUUCCACUCGUGUAACAAGCCAGCUUCUAUGGCAGGCACGUUCCCAUGUAUAAUAGAUUAUAUUUUGCCUGUAACAGCCGAAACUGCACAUUAUGGUUUUUGUCACGAGUUAGAAAAUCCAAGACUUGCGUUCACACACAUAGACAACCUGUUAUAUGUACAUUAAAAAGAAGAAAUCUUGAUGUGGAGGGGUUUAGUUAUUACCUUUGUUGGUGAGACUCAUCGGGUACUUUGAAUUGACUUGUGAGAACCUUUGCAAUAAAGAAAUUGAAUGUGAUUUUUUUCGCUCUAAUAAAUCUAUCAAAUUACCAAAA